rnacentral:rRNA from 2 species
CGGAGCCGCAGCGAAAGCGAGUCUGAAUAGGGCGUUUAGUACGUGGUCGUAGACCCGAAACCAGGUGAUCUACCCAUGUCCAGGGUGAAGUUCAGGUAACACUGAAUGGAGGCCCGAACCCACGCACGUUGAAAAGUGCGGGGAUGAGGUGUGGGUAGCGGAGAAAUUCCAAUCGAACCUGGAGAUAGCUGGUUCUCCCCGAAAUAGCUUUAGGGCUAGCCUUAAGUGUAAGAGUCUUGGAGGUAGAGCACUGAUUGAACUAGGGGUCCUCAUCGGAUUACCGAAUUCAGUCAAACUCCGAAUGCCAAUGACUUAUCCUUAGGAGUCAGACUGCGAGUGAUAAGAUCCGUAGUCAAGAGGGAAACAGCCCAGAUCGCCAGCUAAGGUCCCAAAGUGUGUAUUAAGUGGAAAAGGAUGUGGAGUUGCUUAGACAACUAGGAUGUUGGCUUAGAAGCAGCCACCAUUUAAAGAGUGCGUAAUAGCUCACUAGUCGAGUGACUCUGCGCCGAAAAUGUACCGGGGCUAAAUACACCACCGAAGCUGCGAAUUGAUACCAAUGGUAUCAGUGGUAGGGGAGCGUUCUAAGUGCAGUGAAGUCAGACCGGAAGGACUGGUGGAGCGCUUAGAAGUGAGAAUGCCGGUAUGAGUAGCGAAAGACGGGUGAGAAUCCCGUCCACCGAAUGCCUAAGGUUUCCUGAGGAAGGCUCGUCCGCUCAGGGUUAGUCAGGACCUAAGCCGAGGCCGACAGGCGUAGGCGAUGGACAACAGGUUGAUAUUCCUGUACCACCUCUUUAUCGUUUGAGCAAUGGAGGGACGCAGAAGGAUAGAAGAAGCGUGCGAUUGGUUGUGCACGUCCAAGCAGUUAGGCUGAUAAGUAGGCAAAUCCGCUUAUCGUGAAGGCUGAGCUGUGAUGGGGAAGCUCCUUAUGGAGCGAAGUCUUUGAUUCCCCGCUGCCAAGAAAAGCUUCUAGCGAGAUAAAAGGUGCCUGUACCGCAAACCGACACAGGUAGGCGAGGAGAGAAUCCUAAGGUGUGCGAGAGAACUCUGGUUAAGGAACUCGGCAAAAUGACCCCGUAACUUCGGGAGAAGGGGUGCUUUCUUAACGGAAAGCCGCAGUGAAUAGGCCCAAGCGACUGUUUAGCAAAAACACAGGUCUCUGCGAAGCCGUAAGGCGAAGUAUAGGGGCUGACACCUGCCCGGUGCUGGAAGGUUAAGGAGAGGGGUUAGCGUAAGCGAAGCUCUGAACUGAAGCCCCAGUAAACGGCGGCCGUAACUAUAACGGUCCUAAGGUAGCGAAAUUCCUUGUCGGGUAAGUUCCGACCCGCACGAAAGGUGUAACGAUUUGGGCACUGUCUCAACCAGAGACUCGGUGAAAUUAUAGUACCUGUGAAGAUGCAGGUUACCCGCGACAGGACGGAAAGACCCCGUGGAGCUUUACUGUAGCCUGAUAUUGAAUUUUGGUACAGUUUGUACAGGAUAGGCGGGAGCCAUUGAAACCGGAGCGCUAGCUUCGGUGGAGGCGCUGGUGGGAUACCGCCCUGACUGUAUUGAAAUUCUAACCUACGGGUCUUAUCGACCCGGGAGACAGUGUCAGGUGGGCAGUUUGACUGGGGCGGUCGCCUCCUAAAGUGUAACGGAGGCGCCCAAAGGUUCCCUCAGAAUGGUUGGAAAUCAUUCGUAGAGUGCAAAGGCAUAAGGGAGCUUGACUGCGAGACCUACAAGUCGAGCAGGGACGAAAGUCGGGCUUAGUGAUCCGGUGGUUCCGCAUGGAAGGGCCAUCGCUCAACGGAUAAAAGCUACCCCGGGGAUAACAGGCUUAUCUCCCCCAAGAGUCCACAUCGACGGGGAGGUUUGGCACCUCGAUGUCGGCUCAUCGCAUCCUGGGGCUGUAGUCGGUCCCAAGGGUUGGGCUGUUCGCCCAUUAAAGCGGUACGCGAGCUGGGUUCAGAACGUCGUGAGACAGUUCGGUCCCUAUCCGUCGUGGGCGUAGGAAAUUUGAGAGGAGCUGUCCUUAGUACGAGAGGACCGGGAUGGACGCACCGCUGGUGUACCAGUUGUUCUGCCAAGGGCAUAGCUGGGUAGCUAUGUGCGGAAGGGAUAAGUGCUGAAAGCAUCUAAGCAUGAAGCCCCCCUCAAGAUGAGAUUUCCCAUAGCGUAAGCUAGUAAGAUCCCUGAAAGAUGAUCAGGUUGAUAGGUUCGAGGUGGAAGCAUGGUGACAUGUGGAGCUGACGAAUACUAAUAGAUCGAGGACUUAACCAU